AAGAUAAUACUUUAUUUAUAGUUUAAUGUUAUUUGCUUGUAAAUAUUUAAUUAGGAUAGAAGUUAGAAUAGGAUCCAUGUAACAAAGUAGCGAGCUGAAGCAUAUAGGUCGUGGAACAUUAUCGGGCAAUACAUCGUACAGUGAGUAGCUACACUUUGAGCAUGCAAAGAAAAUGUGGUCCAAGUUGCCCUCAUCAAGCCCACAAUCACACAAUGAGUUCGCACGAACACCUAUCAUAGCCAGAAAUAACGGAGUACAUACUUUGCCCAAACGUAAACGACAGAUGGUGGAUAUUACCCAUUUCGGAGACGUACGGAAUCGAUAGAACCACGGUUUUCGAGAUAUACGAGGUUGUAUACAGCCAUAAUGUCUACCUGUCACUAAUCUCGAGAUAUCCCAUUGCUCCUGCCAUGUAUUAAAUAGAUCCGACAGUGAACCACUCAGAAGGUCUGUACUGUAAAUAUCCUCUUUUAUUAAUCCAAUGUCAAUAGCUCGUUUUGCCCAUGUAUCAGCCAUCUCAUUGCCGCUAAUACCACAGUGGCUUGGAACCCAUCCGAGAACAAUAUUUAGGCCCCUUAAUUCACACCUACGCAGUACAGCUUUGAUUUCUAAAAUCAAAGGAAAUUUGGCUCUAAGUUUGAAUUGGUUGCCUACAAUAGCCUGUAGGCAGCUUCUACUAUCAGAGAAGAUAAUAGUUUUUUUAAUACUAUGGGUCUCUGCAUAUUUGGCAGCUUCAAGAAUAGCAACUGCUUCACCUGUGAAAAUCGACGCUUGAGGAGGACACCUAAAUGAGAGGACAAUAUUGUACCGAGGAAUCCACACUGCUGCUCCCACACAUCUUGCAGGAUCCACCUUUGAAGCGUCAGUAUAAACCGUGAGUUCCAGUGCAAGUGACCGCAAACGUGGAAGCAGCAAAUGGUUGUAGUAAGAACUGGCUUUGAUUAAAAAUCUAUCGGCAAGAUAUUGUCUGCGGAGAGACAAAGGAGGCUCAACACCUUCCACCUGCAUGGCGUUCUUGGGAGAAGAACGCAUAGCUCCGAGUAUGAUCCUCAAACAUUUAGCUUGUAUGAGAUCUAAUUUACCUAGUCCAUCCUUAUUGCAAGGUUCCAUUAAAAAUGACCCAUAGUCUAUAUGACUGCGUAUGAUGGCAUUGUAGAGUAGCUUCUGACAAUAUGGAUGUGAGCCCCACCAAACACCUGACAAUGCUCGCAGAAUAUUGAUAUUUUUUUCACACUUACCUAUUAUAUACUUGUGAUGUGAAAUGCCAGACAUUUUGUGAUCUAAAAUGACACCUAGGAAUUUUACUGACUCCUUACUUGGAAUCAUAACACCGCCAUAACGGACAUCUGCAGCAGGCAUGAUUCUUCUGCGACUGAACGUGACUACACAACUCUUUGUUGGCGAUAGAGUAAGACCAUGUUCAUCAAGCCAAUCCUUGAGGUAACCCAGAGCUGUGUUCAAACUAGCAGCGGUUUUAUCUAUUGACUUUGCUGAGGUGUAUAAGACCAGAUCAUCAGCAUACUGCAAGAUAUUACAGAAGGAUAAGACAGAUUGCUCCAAGUCGUAGGUGUAGAUACUGUAAAGCAGAGGGCUGAGUACAGAUCCUUGCGGGAGACCCCGCCACAAAGUCCGAGGUGGAUGAUAAGAAUUACCAUUCCUAAUUUUAAUUGACCUACCCAUAAACAACUUGGUGACAAUAUGUACAAUCUUCGCGGGAAUGCUCAGAUGUAGCAUUUUUGCCCUGAGCACCGGAAGAAGGACAUUGUCGUAAGCCGCAGAGAUAUCUAGAAAACAUCCUAGCAGAUAUUCGUUUUUUGAAAAGAAAGAGCAAUCGGCCGAUAUGAGCUAGCCUCGUCUGGGUUUUUAGACGGUUUUAGGAUUGGAAUAAUUACUUGGGUCUUCCAGUCUCCUGGGAUCUCCCCCGUGUCAAAGGCAUGGUUUAGGAUACCAAGUAGAUAUUCCUGUGAUGAUGUAUUUAACUUGGUCAAGAAACAAUAUGGUAUGCCAUCCUCUCCAGGUGUAGUAUUCCUUAGUCCAUUAAGCACUACACUAAGCUCUGAGAAUGAGAAAGGCUUAUCCAAGUCGUUGGAGGUGCAUAGCAACGGGGGAAGUAACAAGCAGGAUGCUUCGGGGACAGUUGGAGGGGCAAGUCUAUCUGCGAACUCUGAUAGCCAGGGGGAAUCCGUGGUAGUCUUAGACUCUGGAUUAAAUGAACCCCUGAACCUCUUUACGUUUCGCCAUAUAAGUGUUGAGGGGGUUCUAGGAGAUAAGCUCUCGCAAAAUCCCCUCCAUCCCUUCUUCUUAGCCUUUGCUAGGAAACGCUUUGUACGGGCCGAGAUUUUUUUAAAUGAAAUAAAGUCAUCCAAAUUUCCUGACUCAUUGAAAGCUUGCUCCGCAGCAUUUCUUUUUUUUACGGCUGCUGUGCAGUCAGCGUUCCACCACGGGGGUGAUGGAAUUUUAUGUUUAACAGCUCUCUUUUUUGGGAUAAACUUAUCGGCAGCUUCUAAUAAAACAUUUUUAAAUUUUAAAUAUUUUUCGUCUUGACUAAUUUCGCUCGUGUCCCACUCUUUUAUAUUUUCCUCUACAUAAAAAGCAUAAUUGGGCCAGUCUGCUGAUUGUAUUUUGUGUUUCAGCAGCGGUUCAGGGGAAGGAGAUGGAAGAAUAGAUGAAGGCUUAGUGAUAAUAAUAGGGAAAUGGUCACUGCCAAAUGACUGGCGUAAUACCCUCCAGGAUAAUAAAGAAGAUAAACUAGGAGAACAAACAGAUAAAUCGAGAACUGAUUGGGGAUUCUGGCCUGGGUAUACCCGAUGCGUGGGAGUUCCAUCAUUAAUAACUCCCACAUUGAUGUCAUCGAACAGAUCCAGCAGGGCUGACGAAAACGAAUCUGAAUGGUAUGAUCCCCAGGAGAUAUUGUGACAGUUAAAGUCUCCUAAAAUUAUAAGAGGAGGUGGGACAGAUGUGAGAAUAGAUUGUAAUUCAUCUAUAUCAACUUCUUCAGGAUGGGGGAUAUAUAUAGAGAUGAAAUUAAUGCCCAUAACCUUGGCAGCUACGGCAUUAAUCCCAUCCGAGUGAG